CUACUGGAAACGGUAGCUAAUACCGCAUAACGUCGCAAGACCAAAGAGGGGGACCUUCGGGCCUCUUGCCAUCGGAUGUGCCCAGAUGGGAUUAGCUAGUAGGUGGGGUAACGGCUCACCUAGGCGACGAUCCCUAGCUGGUCUGAGAGGAUGACCAGCCACACUGGAACUGAGACACGGUCCAGACUCCUACGGGAGGCAGCAGUGGGGAAUAUUGCACAAUGGGCGCAAGCCUGAUGCAGCCAUGCCGCGUGUAUGAAGAAGGCCUUCGGGUUGUAAAGUACUUUCAGCGGGGAGGAA
rnacentral:rRNA from 1 species